GACGAACGCUGGCGGCGUGCUUAACACAUGCAAGUCGAACGGAAAGGCCCUGCUUUUGUGGGGUGCUCGAGUGGCGAACGGGUGAGUAACACGUGAGUAACCUGCCCUUGACUUUGGGAUAACUUCAGGAAACUGGGGCUAAUACCGGAUAGGAGCUCCUGCUGCAUGUGGGGGGUUGGAAAGUUUCGGCGGUUGGGGAUGGACUCGCGGCUUAUCAGCUUGUUGGUGGGGUAGUGGCAUACGAAGGCUUUGACGGGUAGCCGGCAUGAGAGGGUGACCGGCCACCUUGGGACUGAGGUACGGACCAGACUCCUACGGGACGCAGCAGUGGGGAAUAUUGCACAAUGGGCGGAAGCGUGAUGCAGCAACGCCGCGUGCGGGAUGACGGCCUUUGGGUUGUAAACAGCUUUCGCCUGUGACGAAGCGUGAGUGACGGUAAUGGGUAAAGAAGCAACGGCUAACUACGUG
rnacentral:rRNA from 1 species